rnacentral:rRNA from 1 species
AUUGAACGCUGGCGGCAGGCCUAACACAUGCAAGUCGAGCGAGUGGCGGACGGGUGAGUAAUGUAUGGGGACUGCCCGAUAGAGGGGGAUAACUACUGGAAACGGUGGCUAAUACCGCAUACUAUCGGAUAACCCAUAUGGGAUUAGCUAGUUGGUGGGGUAAAGGCUAACCUAGGCGACGAUCCCUAGCUGGUCUGAGAGGAUGACAAGCCACACUGGGACUGAGAAACGGCCCAGACUCCUACGGAGGCAGCAGUGGGGAAUAUUGCGCAAUGGGGGCAAGCCUGACGCAGCCAUGCCGCGUGAAUGAAGAAGGCCUUCGGGUUGUAAAGUACUUUCGGUAGGGAGGCGUUACCUACAGAAGAAGCACCGGCUAACUCCGUGCCAGCAGCCGCGGUAAUAC